AUAAUCAUAGCUCAGUCGGUAGAGCAUGAGACUAUAAAAGGGACACGGGUGGCGCUGUGGGUUAAACCACAAAGCCUAGGACUUGCCGAUCAGAAGGUCGGCGGUUCGAAUCCCCGUGACGGGG